rnacentral:lncRNA from 1 species
AUGCCAAGACAAGAUAAAAGCAGAAGAAAAGGAGAAUGCCAAGAGGGGCAUGAACAUGAAAUGAAACCAGAAAUGAGGGUUAAACACAAUUUCUGUGUCUCUCGGACACCUACACUCUUGAAAUGAGAACACAUGUCAUCAGUUACCACUUUUGAUGGACUUCAAAGACUUAAGAUUUUCCUCCAAGUAAUCUCAAGAAACUCACCCAGAGAAACAAACUAGGACUCAGCGCUGACCUCCCAGCAAUCCCAGUAACUUGCUUGAAAGUGAAGGAAGUGGAUUUCAAACAAGCAUAAGCCAAGAGAGGAUUUGAUGCCCACAUAAACCAGGAAGAAUGAUGUUACAGCUGGCCUCAGGAAUGACAGAAUUAGGACUGGGGUGAUCUCUGCCUGUCAAGACUCCUGGCCUCCAUCUCUGGCCUCUGCAUCACUGUGUGUUGGUCUAAUUGGUCUCAAACCGGC